rnacentral:ncRNA from 2 species
GGUCUGAAAAAAAUAACGGAGGAUGGUGGUGCAUGGCCGUUCUUAGUUGGUGGAGCGAUUUGUCUGGUUAAUUUCGAUAACGAACGAGACUCUAGCCUAUUAAAUAGGUGCGUGGUUCUCUGCACCUUGCACCCUUCUUAGAGGGACAAGCGGCUCCUAGCCGCACGAAACAGAGCAAUAACAGGCCUCUGAUGCCCCUAGAUGUCC